rnacentral:rRNA from 1 species
GAUCCUGGCUUAGGCGAACGCUGGCGGCGUGCCUAACACAUGCAAGUCGAACGGAGAUAUUAAUGAAGCUUGCGAUUUAAUAUCUUAGUGGCGGACGGGUGAGUAACGCGUGGGUAAUCACCUUUUAGUGGGGAACAACAGUUGGAAACGACUGCUAAUACCGCAUACGUCCCGGAAGGGAGAAAGACGGCCUCUGAAGAUGCUGUCGCUAAGAGAUGAGCCCGCGUCUGAUUAGCUAGUUGGUGGGGUAAAGGCCUACCAAGGCAACGAUCAGUAGCCGGCCUGAGAGGGUGAACGGCCACACUGGGACUGAGACACGGCCCAGACUCCUACGGGAGGCAGCAGUGGGGAAUAUUGCGCAAUGGGGGAAACCCUGACGCAGCGAACCGCCGCGUGAGCGAAGAAGGCCUUAGGGUUGUAAAGCUCUGUUUUAGGGGACGAAAGACUAGAGGAGUAACUGCCUUUAGAGUGACGGUACCCUAAGAGGAAGCCCCGGCUAACUACGUGCCAGCCGCUGC